CAGUAUACCUCUGUAUUUACCUCCUCAAACUAAACAUUCUCUGUAUGGAAACAGUGAUCGUUUGUGUUGUCAAUACAAAUACUAUUCUGACAAACGUGAAACACGACAGAACUUUUCAAACAAAUCGACCAAUUACAGGUGUAUAACUGCAAAUUUCCCAAGUGCACAGUCAGUAGCGAGAGAAGCAGAGUCGUUACAACAACUGCUGUGCGGUAGUGAUAAGUCUGAUAAUGUUGUUAUUUCUUCAAAUGAUGUUUGUGGAGAUAUCGAGUCGGGUUCGGAAACGCGGAUAAAUUUCAAUGCAGGCCCUAACAUGGAUUCUACCAAAAUUAUUAACAACCAACCUGCUGACGGAUUUCAUAACUCAACAGUCUACCGAAAGUGUGACGGAGUCUCCGGUGAAGGUUCUGGUGAAAUUAUUUUAUCUUCGGACUACGGUGGUGUAUCCGCCGGUAAUCGUGUUGAAAUGAAAAAAAGUUCAUCUCCUUGCAAAAUACCUGUUCAACAGAAACAAAAGACAAACAUGAGUACAGGGACUAAACAUUCUGUGAAAUCCAGCCAGCUUCCUCGUGGAAAAUCUACUUUGAUUGAUCAGACCACCAGGAUCUCCCUUAACAAACAAACCACCCAACAGACAAGUGCUGACAGUAGUAGACUUCCGUCUAAAUGCACAGGUAAAAAAUCUUCUCUUGUUAAUGGGGAUACGAAUGUUAAGAAACAAGGUGAUAAAAAUACAUCAAAUUUAAAAAAUAUCAACGUGGGUAAAUCUGUUAGUAGUUCUAAGAUACAUCGUAACACAGCAUUAAGUAAAACUAAACAUCAAACAACCAGUGAUAUAAGUUCUAAAAAUUGUAAUGAAUUAAUUUCAGUUGAUAAACAUAUUUCUGCAGUUCUGUCUGAAGAGUUACCAGAAGAUAGUGAAUCGGCUAUUGAUGAAGUGAAAGUAGUUAAUGAAUUAAAUGAUAAAUUCCGUCUUCGGUCAGAUUCAGAGUCCAGCCAUGCUAGCCAUUCUUCUUUUUGUUCCCAGUUAUCCACUUCAUCGGUUAAAUCGUCUAUUUGUCUUCCAAGUUCCACUAAAGGUGGGCUUGGGAAAACUAGUAAAAUUCUUACGAGUUCCUGUUCACGUUUAGCUGUGUCUAAAGCAGAAACAAAACUACAGAAAAAACCGUCCAUGCUAAGCCGUACCACCUCAUCCACAACUGUCUCUCGAACUAGUAAUUCUGCUUUGUCUCACCCAUCCAAGUCAUCUCCUGCACAUUCACGUUUAACGUCACGAGUUAACACUGAAAACUUACAAAGAGCUGUGAGCACAGGUUCUUUAAGAAAUAAUUCCAAUAAAUCGAGUAUUCCUCCUACUGGCAGAUCUAAUACAACAGCUACAAAAAGUAGUGGUCUGUCACUGAGGCAAAAGAAAGUUGCUGAUUCAGCAUCUGAUCUUUCAGUUAACAGCACAACUAGAUUAGGUAGCAGAAUUCAAAACAAAGAAAGUUUAAAGACAGUCAGUUCCGAGAAUUUGUCAAACAAAAUUCAAAACUCAUUUGGAAAAAGUUGUGAAAAUUUAGCAAAGAAGAAAAAAAAUGUGUUACAAGCAAGUUGUGAAAAUUUGUCAGUUAAAUCUCGCAAUAAUAGUGUCACCACUUCUGACAGUACACUUCAACAAAAAGGUAUUUCGCACAAUAAAAAAUUAACUCCCACUCAAAGCAUUAGCAAUGGAGGUUUGGUUCACCAAAAGGAAAAAUACAGUGGUGGUAUGUCUUUAUUGAAGGCUAGCAGAAUUAGUGGCAGCAGCAGCAGUUCAAUUCCUACUGCUGCAACUGCAGCUGAUAAACUGGACAAUAAAAAAUUAAGUAAUGUCCGCCCUACCACCUCUGCAGUUACUGAGCGGAGAACAGGUGUGGGGCUAGGUAGCAACCAGGAGGGCAAACCAACCACUAAUAUUGAUAGAUCUCAGAUUAAAAAGAGUAUACCAGCUACAGGUAAAAAAACUACAUCAUUAAAAUCAAAUGAAGCUAUUGAACCAUUAUCAAAAAAGAAACUUGUAGCAAAAACAAGUCGAGGUUUUAGUGACCAUAAAGUGACUUCUAAUUUGCCUACUGCUUCUUCUAAAGCUUCAUCUGGUAUUAAAAAGUCUAAGUUGUUAGAGGCUCAGUCUCAUAAUGUGGUCAGUCAGACAGCUGGCAAAAACUUUCAGGGAAAAGCAACCUAUGACAGUAAUCGGUUACAGCUGGAUAAAACUAGGAAUACACUUUCUGUUAAUGAGGUAGAAAAUUCGGAACUACAUUAUAAAGAACUAGAUGAUGCACCUGAAAAUGAAGAUAAAGUUGACAAAGAUAGCUCAUCAACAAAACCAAAUAUUUCUGAAAAUUUUGCUUAUGAUGACUACAUGAUUAUAACCGAGGCCCUUUCUGAUGAAAGCAUAUCUGGGCCCAGUGUACAUGUCGGAGAUUUAGACAAUGUUUCAAACCCCAACCACCUCUCUGAUGUUGAUGCUUCGGAAAGUUAUCAAACUAGUUCUUCAGCUUCUGCCCUGGACAUCAGUUUACAUGAGGACUAUGUGUAUAAUGGAUCUCUUGUGACCUCUUCUAGUGACAACUACACCGACAAGCACACUGGCUUCCAGUGCACACAGUCAGCUGUCCAUGCUUGCAGAGAAGUUACCAGCAGCUACCAGACUAACACCAGUGAGGAUGAGUGUAGUGAAAAAGAAGAAAAAGAGGAAAUGGAGAGAAAAGAAGACACAGAGGAAAACAGAGUAAAACUAAAAUUAUCAGACCAUGGUGUAAUUAAAUCUGAUGCUUAUUCUGAUAAAACUUUUGACUAUGAAGCUAGUUAUGACUGUAAUCUUUCCAGCUGUGGUUAUCAGCAGCCACAGAAACAUUAUGGACAGCCCUGCCCCCAUCAGCAAUAUCCCCACCAUCCCCCUCAACACCAUUAUCAUCCCCCACACCAAUCUACUGGAACUGAGAAUAGUUUUAAAAAUUUAUCAACAGAUGAUGGGAGGGGUGCUCAGUCUAGUCCACAGCUUCAUAGUAUUAAUGAUAGUAAAUGUGUGUAUAGCUUUGAAUUUGAAGAGGGACAAAAUCAAAAGCAGGCGGAAGAAGAUGGGGAGGAAAAAGCAGUGGGUGAGAGUGAAAACUUAGAAGAGAAAGCAUCAGUGGUUGUAUUUAAGUCAGCUGACAUUUACAGAGUGGCAGGGCAUGGGAUGCCAGUAGUAGAGUUCACCCCGCCCCAAAUAGCCCACCACAAUAUUUCGAGGAAUGAAAACAGUGGUAGUGGUGGUUGUAACCCAGUUUCUGCUACAGACAGAACAAGUAAAGAUGUGACAGCUACCAAAACUACUACAGUUCUGAGGGGAGACGAUACUGAAGGAGAACUCGCAGGAGCUGAGAGAAGCGAUGAGGAAGCUGUCGACUGCCCUGUCAACAAACUGUUGCAAAGAGAAAGAGACAGACCAACAUCAUUCACACAAGUAAAUGUUGGUGAAGAAGCUCGGUUUAAGCAACAGAUAAGUUUUGGUGAAGUUGCUGUGACAACAACAACAACAAUACUUGCAGCAACAAUAAAAGCUGAUGUUACCAAUUCCAGCCUUCAGGAAAUGGCAGACCAACCAGGGAUCCAGUCCUCUAAACUACAACUAGGAGAUCUUCAUACAUCUCAGACAAGAACCCAGACCUACGACAGAGAUGUCAUGUGUGAAAAAGGUGAUUUAUCAAGGAGUACUGCCACACUGUUUAUGGAACAACAACAACAACAACUGAAUUCUAAUGCAACCAGGCAGAUGACAGGCCCAUUCUUACCAUCUGAAAUGGGAUUCCUUGCUGGUCAGAUGCUCAGCCCCUGCAGUAAUGACAGCAGUAGCUUCAAAGAUAUCAGUGAUGGUGCUGUCACACCUCUCAGUGAUGUACAGGAAAUAUUUGACCAGGAAACCUCUCAACUGAAUGACAUCAGCAAUGUGGAUGAGCUAAGCGGUACCUGUAAACAUGUUAGUGAUAUUGCAGAAGGUGAAACUGAAGGUGUCCUUAUAGAAAUUGAAGACAGUACUUUACAAGUGUCUGGGAGUCCAGAUGGUGAAGAUGAGAUUAUAGUAGAAGAACAGGAUUAUGUUGUGACCGAUGAGAGGAAUUAUAAUGAAGAAUCAACUCAUUUUACAAAUGAUGAUAUAAUCGGUGAACGUCCAAUUGUGGAUGCUGGAGAAGAUCUUGCUGAAGUGACGCUGGAUAGUAAUGAAACACAAAAUUUAUGGUUCUCAAUUGAAGCAGAAACAGACAGUCAAUAUGAAAAUCUUAGUACAUCAAUCACACUAGAAAAUAUAGCUGAAUCUAGUAUUGGAGAGGAUGUUGAAGAACUGCUUGACCAGUCUCCCAGUAUUGAAUCUAGCAAUACCUCCUCACGAAUUCAUGGAAAUUUACAUGAAAGUAUUCUGAGGCAGUUACAAACACAAAUAAGUGAAGAUGAUGCUCCAGAUAUUUUAUCAGAGGAAAUAUCUCCAAGCCUUGAGCAUUUGCAGUUAAGAACAAAAUCUGAGGAAACUGAUUUUGGUAAAUCUGAUCAACAACUAAUAUCAGGAUGUAAUGAAAAAAGGAUUAACAAAGAUUCUUAUUUGCAUUCCCAUCAAUUGGAACCCUGUUUUCAUACUGAUUCCCUAGCUGAGAAUAUCCAACAAAGACCUGCUGAUGUGAAACUUGGUAACUUUAAAAGUCAAACUAAAAACUGUUUGUCUGGAAAUACUGUUUUAGAUGAUAAAAACUUACUUGAAACAAACUUCAACUUUAAUGAAGAUGUGCAGAGAGCAUAUACUAAUAGCCUUAAAUAUGGAUAUAAAAAUGAAUUUGAUUCUUUGGAUGUCAAUAUUUGUAAUAAUGAUAUUUCUCAAGAAAUGGAAAUAGAAGAUGGAGGUUUUGUUAUUCUCAAGAAUGAAGGAGUAAAGAAAACCAAUGAUAAUUCCAAUCAGGAUUUCACACUUCGGCAACUUCAGGGAACUCUCAAUCUAAGGAAACAGAAAAUUCUUGAACUUUGUGGGCAAACAGAAUCAGUAUCAAGCAAGGAUAUUAAAUCACCCUCUCCUACAAAGGUUUCAAUUGAUAGAAAAGAAAGGUCACCAAGUUUUAAAAGAUUGGAUGCUUUUUGUACAAUCCCUGGGAGUAUUAAUGAAAAUAUUAGCCCUACAAAAACUAAUUCUUCUUUAGCAUUAAACAUACCAAAAGCUGACACAUUGCAAAACCUAAGUCCAAAGACAGAUGAAAUAGUUUCACCAAUAAAAGAAUCUUGGAUCAAACAUGAAGGCAAAUGGAGAAGAGGAUAUAUCCUUGAUGAUGGUUCAAGUAUUCCAUCUGAAAAAUAUCAGGAUUACAUUUUGAAAUCUACACCAGUUACUCCAAACAGUGAUGGAGAACACAGUUUUAUUGAGAAAUAUUCCUCAGCACAGAUUAUGAAGAGUGAUAGUUUUGAAGAAAAUUCCUUGACUUUAAAGCAAGAACAAAGUAGUAAUUUUGAAGAAAUUUCUAAAUGCACAAUGGAAUUGUUUAAUCAGAGCCCUGUACUCGAAGAAGAAGUCUUUGGAAAUAAUGAAGAAGAAUUCACUCAUGAAAAUUUAAAAAUGCACAAAACUGUGUUGGGAGAUAUUACAAGCAGUAAAGAAUCUUAUGAUUCUGUUGAUGGCCAGCCAUCUGAAAUAAAUAUUCUUUCUCUUGACACCAACUCAAAAAUAAAGGAUUAUGGAAAAACUGAGAUAACUGAGGCUGAGAUGACACAUAAAUCACAAGCUGAGCUAACUUUGCAGACUGAAACUGUUCAACCAGUUAUUACAGAACAGAAGACUUAUUCACCAGAAAUUGUGGAUGACAUACCAUUUGUUGAUAUGGAUGAAACUGUAUGUGAUUCCAACAUUGUUAGCAUUGCUUCAGUUAAGCUAAAGAAUAGUGCAUCUCAAGAUCUUCCUGAAGUCACUCCUAUGCAGGAUACACUUAGUUCAGUGAACACAAAAUUUAAAAGCAAAGAGAUGGAAUCCAUAUUGGAUUUACAAGAAAAUAGCAUGGAGCAACUUCCUCAUCCUUCAGUGAUUGAAUCAACUUCUAUUAGUGAAUAUGAAACAGCUGUUGAUUUGGAUACUAUUACAGAUGACCCCAGCACACAUUCUUCUGUUGAUGAGUUGAAAUGUGAACCGCUUAUUGAUUCAGGUUUUGAACAUCCACUUCAUGAGUUUGAUAAUGUAUCAAUGGCUGUUUCAGACAUUGUAACCACAAAUGAUACUGAUAGUGGACGAUUAAUAGAUUCAGGCAUUGCGCAACCUUCAGAUAUGGAUUGGGUUCCUAUUACAGAUGAAUAUGAUAUUUUACCUGCUAAUGCUGAAGAGUGUGUACCAUAUUUAAACUGUGAACCAGUGAAUGCAAAUAAAAGGAUGCAACAUGAUUCAGAUGAUGCACUACCAAUCCACAGCAAAGAAGUAGUAAAUGAAAUUGACUCUCCUAGAAAACUCAUUGAUUCUCAGUCCCUGCCAAUGGAUAUACCUCAAGGAAAAAGCCCAGGAUUAAGUACAGAUAUGGAAAGAAAUAAAAUAAAAAAUAAACAUACAGAGAAACAAGAAAUGAAUUUUGCAAACAGUUCAGAUGCCUACCAUGCAUCUGAGGAAACAGAAUCAUCAUUAGGAAAUCAAAAAGAUAUGCCCAUGUUAGAGCAAGAUAUUUAUGGUUCUUCACCUAGAGAAGUUGGUUCUUUAUGUGAUGAAAUUUUCAGCAUUAUUGGUUCACCAACAUUAUUGAAUGAAUCUUGGAAGAAAUUGUCACAGAAUAAAUCUGAAAGUGACUUAAGCAAAAGUGAGAACGAACUCUAUUUUGAUGGAAAAAGAACAUACAGAAAUUUACCCACGUCUCGAUCAGUUUAUGCAAACAUUAUUCGAUCUUCUAUUUAUGAAAAUUCUGAAUCAGAAAGUUCAGAAUCACUGGAUUCUAUCACCAAAAUAAGUUAUGAUGAUUUAAAACAGACCAAAGAUAAAAACAACAUCAAACUGAAAGGACAGGGAUACUCUUCAAACGAGGAUUCUCCUGAAGGUUUAAUGUCAUCCAUGGAUUUCUAUUUAGAUGCCAGCGAAUUUGCUCGAGCUUGUUGGUCUGAUAGGAGUACCUUGUCUGAAUUCUACCAAGUUGGGUCACAUCAGAAAUUGAGAGCUAGUGAUUCAUCUACCUAUGGGGUAAGUCCAGACAUUUCAUUUUGUAAUAAACUCCUCAAAGAUUUGUGUCCAUUGAUAAAACCUGAUUUGAAAGGAAUAUAUGCUGUAAAGGGUGAAGACAGUCAAGACAUUAAGUUACUGGCAGAAAUCUCUGAAUUGGAUGAGACUUGUGGUGAGAACAAUCAUAUUCUAUCCCAAACAGAACGCAGUGAAAAUAUACAGCAUAAUGAUAAUUCAUUAAGUCGAAGUGAAACUUACUGGUCUCCGGGAAGCAGUCCUUCUAUGCGAAAACCUUACAGACGCAGCCUUAGCCUGCCUUUUGCCAACCAUGAUGGUGAAGACGGCAGGUCAAUACUUCACUGUUCAAAGGUUGAUUUGGAGUAUCCAGUGACAACAGCAGGUUUUGGAUCCCCCCCUGAAUUACCCAGCAAGAUUGGCAGAAGCCUACGUAAACACAAUACGGUAAGACGUUUUUCCACCCAGCGAAGUUUAAGCUCCGACUACACUAAAGAGAAACACCUUUCAACCAGUGCCGAGGGUCAUGGUUACUCUAGAGUGCUUGAUGACUUAUCUCCUUCACACCACACAGUCAGUUUCACUCCAGCUACAGAGGAAAUAGCUGGUAGUGACUAUUCUAAAACUUUAUUAAAAAGACCAACAGAUCGGCCUGCAUCUCUAGAUGAGGUACAACUUCGGGCUCAGUUUUUGGAUUUACGACUAAAAGGAUACAAUGCCUCUGAAGUAACAACAAGCAAAUCUAACGGGAAGGUUUCUCCUUCUCUGUCUGACCACUUUAAUAAGCCUUGUUUAUAUGAUAGUGAAACUGGUAUUAUUAUCCAACAUGGUGAUGAAAUAAAUUACUUACCUCCCAAAAGUCCAGGAAUACUACGAAGAAUGUUUCGUCGUGGGAGAUCUUUCAGUGAAAAAGUUAAGCCUCUAAGGCCUGAUGAAGUUUUAAUUGCUCCAAAAGAAUCUCUGGCUCGGAAAAUGUCCAUGAAGUCAAUUUUCCGUCGAAGUAGAAGUGGCAGCAAUUCUUCUCAGAAGAGUAAAGAAUUUGAUGCUUCCAUUAAGGAUUUACUUGGCUCCAAUGCUGGUAGAUUGGAGGAUGGCAGUGAUGACAGAAUGUCUAAGGAAUCAUUUGAGAAAGGAAGUGAUCCAUCAGGUUUGCCUUUAACACCAAUGAGUGAUGAAGGCAGCCACCGGAGUAACUUCUCAUCUUUAAGCAUGAUUUCCUCAGCAGGUUCUACACCACCCACUUCUCCAGCUAGUUUUAGUUGUACUCUUGUUGGCUCUGACAUACCAAAAGAUGAAGUAUUUGAGGAUGAUAAUACUUUGAGUCUAGCCUAUGACAAGAACUACAACAGUAAGUUGCUCUCAUUUCGGAAAUCAUGCAAACAACACCAGGCUCGUAAUAGUUUUGUUGGUAAAGGGGUCAGUGAGUCAGAAGCCACUGGUGCAUAUAGUGGAUCUUCCAGCAAUUCAAAUGCUUACUUUGCUGCAUCUGACUUGCAUUCUGGAUCUGGCUCAUCCUUUCAGCACCCCACACCAAUGUCAGCUCAGGAAAUGGAUAAACUUGCUGCUGUUGCCCGUGGCGAGAUGGUGUCCAGUAACAGUAGUGACAGUGGUAUACAACAUGAUUCUAGCCUUCAGUCCAGCAAUGAGUCAUUGAAGGUAUAUCAAUGGAAAAUAGGAAAGGAAAAAGAAAGGAGAGAUGGAUAUGAUUUUAAAGUUGUUGAUGUCACUUUGGGAAAUGAGCAAAUGAUUUCUGAAAAUUCUCAUGAAGUUAUUCAUCGAAAGCAUUCUGUAUCAAGUCGUGAACGACCAAAAUCAGAUAUUAAUGUCCAUUGGCCUCAACAUGUCAAACAGGUUGCAAGCUAUUUUGAUCCCAGACAUUUGCGAGAACAUCGUGAGUCUACAAUCUCAAGGCCAAGACCAAAAUCUGAUUUGGGUGGUAGCACACUUUCAUCAGAAGCUAUGAAAGAAUUUCUGCAGGGGAAAUUACCUCAAAGUCAAUCACAGAAAACUAUAUCAGAAAUGAAUCGAACUUCUUAUCUGGUCACCAAAGCCCGGCGGGUACUUGAUGAUAAAAUGUCAACCCCUCACCCUAUAAAAUCAAGGAUUGCCGAUCGCAGUGCUUUGACGAAACAAAAGAAAAUUCUUGGACGAUCACACAGUAUGCCAGAAAACUUAAACAAAAUACACAAACGACGCCGAAUCCAUCCUUCAGGAAGUGAUCCACUUUCUGACUUGCUUUCUCAGCACUCAACAAAUGACGAUUCUUCAGACGAAUCAGAAGUCUCAAUGGAUUACAGUUUACCAGACAAGUGUCACAGCACCCGAACGUCACAGUUGGGGCUGGCUCCACUCGAUGAGAUUUUCGAGACAGAAAAUCUCACAUACGCUGAAGCCUUAUGGGACCAUGUUACAAUGGACCCAGAUGAGCUAGCCUUCCGCGCUGGUGAGGUCAUCAAAGUAACAGACAUGAUAGAUAAAGAUUGGUGGUGGGGAAUUCUUGAAGAUAAAGAUGGCUGGUUCCCUGCAAAUUUUGUCAGAUUGCGAGCCAAUCAAGACCAUCAUUUAGAAGAAGCAGCUAAGUUAGAAGGUGCUGAUUCCAGUAAGGACUCAUCCUCCAAUGUUGGUAAAACUCACCAGUUCAACAGUAACCAGGCCCGAACCAAUGUAAUUAAUGAGAUAAUCUCUGCUGAGAGAGAAUAUGUUCACCAGUUGGAUGAUGUUUUACAAGGUUAUGUUGUUCAAGCCAAGAAAAGGCCAGACAUGUUUCCAGACGACAAGAUUUCUACCAUUUUCGGCAAUUUGGAGGAUAUAUACACUUUUUCUAAAAAGUUCUUCAAAAGUCUUGAAGUCAGUCUCAAAGAUGACUUACACCAAAGUGAAGUGGGUCAUUGUUUUAUUGAACAUAGGAAAGGUUUUGAAAUAUAUUCAGAUUACUGCAACAAUCACCCUCAUGCCUGUGAUCAGUUGAAAGAAUUGUGUAAAAACAAGCGAUAUCGACAUUUCUUCGAGGGUUGCCGCUUACUACAAGACAUGAAACAGAUACCAUUAGAAGGAUUCUUACUCACCCCAGUACAGAAAAUUUGCAAGUAUCCAUUACAGUUGGCUGAACUUCUAAAAUACACAUCAACCUCCCACCCAGAUUAUCAUGAUGUCUGCGAGGCUCUAGAUGCUAUGAAGAAGAUAGCUUGCCUUAUUAAUGAGAGAAAACGAAGAAUGGAAAGUAUUGAGAAAAUAGCUGAAUGGCAGGCAACAGUCGAAGACUGGGAGGGUCCUGAUUUAUUAGAAACUAGUUCUGAAUUAAUUUAUUCUGGGGAACUAAGUAAAGUUAAUUCCAGUGGUUGGACACAGGAACGCUACUUUUUCUUAUUUGAUCAUCAACUUAUCUAUUGUCGUAAGGAUCUUUUAAAGAAAAAUUCUUUCUCGUUUCGAGGAAGAAUAUAUUUAGACCACAGUAAAAUUUAUCCAGUUGUAGAUGGAAGAGACCCCCAGUUUAAUGUAUAUGUGAAAAAUGGUUGGAAGCUUCAUGACAACAAGCGGAACAAAUCCUUCUUAGUGUUCAGUAAAAAUGCCGUAGAGAAAGAUCGAUGGCUAAAAGCAUUUGAAGAAGAAAGGAAGAAAGUGAAAAGUGAUCAAGAAAAUGGUUUCACCAUUCCACCAAGCUUGCGGAAAUCUUGUGCUCGAAACAGUUUCAGAACAAAAACACAACCAGAACGGCCAAAAGGCAAAUUCUCUGGAUGGUUGUCCCGGAAAACUUCUAUAUGGUAGGUUUUUGCAUGCAAUAUGAGCUGAUCAUUAUUCUAGUGUGUGAAGAUGGACGCAAUCUUGAGCAGACCUAUUGUAAAAUUUCUGAAAAAUUAAUGAAAAAGAAUAUGCCUAUGUCAUUUCGUCACCAGCAAGAAUUAUGGAAAAACCUUCCUGCUCAUGCAACACUUCCUCGGGGCAUGACCAAUCCUACUUUGUUUGAGAGAGUACCUCACACAUCAGC
rnacentral:misc_RNA from 1 species